CCCUUAGAUGUUCUGGGCCGCACGCGCGCUACACUGAUGAAUUCAACGAGUUUUCCACCUUGACCGAGAGGUCCGGGAAAUCUUUUUAACUUUCAUCGUGCUGGGGAUAGAUUAUUGCAAUUAUUAAUCUUCAACGAGGAAUUCCUAGUAAGCGCGAGUCAUCAGCUCGCGUUGAUUACGUCCCUGCCCUUUGUACACACCGCCCGUCGUUACUACCGAUUGGUGUGCAGGGUGAAAUCUUCGGACUGUGGAUUUUGAGCGGUUUCCGUUUCUUUUUCCGCGGGAGGUUGCUUAAAUCCUGCUCACUAGAGGAAGUACAAGUCGUAACA
rnacentral:rRNA from 1 species